GACGAACGCUGGCGGCGUGCUUAACACAUGCAAGUCGAACGGAAAGGCCCUGCUUUUGUGGGGUGCUCGAGUGGCGAACGGGUGAGUAACACGUGAGUAACCUGCCCUUGACUUUGGGAUAACUUCAGGAAACUGGGGCUAAUACCGGAUAGGAGCUCCUGCUGCAUGGUGGGGGUUGGAAAGUUUCGGCGGUUGGGGAUGGACUCGCGGCUUAUCAGCUUGUUGGUGGGGUAGUGGCUUACCAAGGCUUUGACGGGUAGCCGGCCUGAGAGGGUGACCGGCCACAUUGGGACUGCGAUACGGCCCAGACUCCUACGGGAGGCAGCGGUGGGGAAUAUUGCACAAUGGGGGGAAGCCUGAGGCAGCAACGCCGCGUGCGGGAUGACGGCCUUCGGGUUGUAAACCGCUUUCGCCUGUGACGAAGCGUGAGUGACGGUAAUGGGUAAAGAAGCACCGGCUAACUACGUG
rnacentral:rRNA from 1 species